GUUUGGUUAGCUCAGCUGGUCAGAGUGUGGUGCUAAUAAAGCUGAGGUCAUGGGUUCAAGCCCUGUACUGGCCA
rnacentral:tRNA from 1 species